rnacentral:rRNA from 1 species
ACGGGUGAGUAACGCGUGGGAAUCUACCCAUCUCUACGGAAUAACGCAUGGAAACGUGUGCUAAUACCGUAUACGUCCUUCGGGAGAAAGAUUUAUCGGAGAUGGAUGAGCCCGCGUUGGAUUAGCUAGUUGGUGGGGUAAAGGCCUACCAAGGCGACGAUCCAUAGCUGGUCUGAGAGGAUGAUCAGCCACACUGGGACUGAGACACGGCCCAGACUCCUACGGGAGGCAGCAGUGGGGAAUAUUGGACAAUGGGCGCAAGCCUGAUCCAGCCAUGCCGCGUGAGUGAUGAAGGCCCUAGGGUUGUAAAGCUCUUUCACCGGUGAAGAUAAUGACGGUAACCGGAGAAGAAGCCCCGGCUAACUUCGUGCCAGCAGCCGCGGUAAUACGAAGGGGGGCUAGCGUUGUUCGGAUUUACUGGGCGUAAAGCGCACGUAGGCGGACUAUUAAGUCAGGGGUGAAAUCCCGGGGCUCAACCCCGGAACUGCCUUUGAUACUGGUAGUCUUGAGUUCGAGAGAGGUGAGUGGAAUUCCGAGUGUAGAGGUGAAAUUCGUAGA